rnacentral:rRNA from 1 species
UUAAGCGACUAAGCGUACACGGUGGAUGCCCUGGCAGUCAGAGGCGAUGAAGGACGUGCUAAUCUGCGAUAAGCGUCGGUAAGGUGAUAUGAACCGUUAUAACCGGCGAUUUCCGAAUGGGGAAACCCAGUGUGUUUCGACACACUAUCAUUAACUGAAUCCAUAGGUUAAUGAGGCGAACCGGGGAACUGAAACAUCUAAGUACCCCGAGGAAAGAAAUCAACCGAGAUUCCCCAGUAGCGGCGAGCGAACGGGGAGGAGCCCAGAGCCUGAAUCAGUGUGUGUGUUAGUGGAAGCGUCUGGAAAGGCGCGCGAUACAGGGUGACAGCCCCGUACACAAAAAUGCACAUACUGUGAGCUCGAUGAGUAGGGCGGGACACGUGGUAUCCUGUCUGAAUAUGGGGGGACCAUCCUCCAAGGCUAAAUACUCCUGACUGACCGAUAGUGAACCAGUACCGUGAGGGAAAGGCGAAAAGAACCCCGGCGAGGGAGUGAAAAGAACCUGAAACCGUGUACGUACAAGCAGUGGGAGCCUCUUUAUGGGGUGACUGCGUACCUUUGUAUAAUGGGUCAGCGACUUAUAUUCUGUAGCAAGGUUAACCGAAUAGGGGAGCCGAAGGGAAACCGAGUCUUAACUGGGCGUUAAGUUGCAGGGUAUAGACCCGAAACCCGGUGAUUCAGCCAUGGGCAGGUUGAAGGUUGGGUAACACUAACUGGAGGACCGAACCGACUAAUGUUGAAAAAUUAGCGGAUGACUUGUGGCUGGGGUGAAAGGCCAAUCAAACCGGGAGAUAGCUGGUUCUCCCGAAAGCUAUUUAGGUAGCGCCUCGUGAAUUCAUCUCCGGGGUAGAGCACUGUUUCGGCAAGGGGUCAUCCCGACUUACCAACCCGAUGCAAACUGCGAAUACCGGAGAAUGUUAUCACGGGAGACACACGGCGGGUGCUAACGUCCGUCGUGAAGAGGAAACAACCCAGACCGCCAGCUAAGGUCCCAAAGUCAUGGUUAAGUGGGAAACGAUGUGGGAAGGCCCAGACAGCCAGGAUGUUGGCUUAGAAGCAGCCAUCAUUUAAAGAAAGCGUAAUAGCUCACUGGUCGAGUCGGCCUGCGCGGAAGAUGUAACGGGGCUAAACCAUGCACCGAAGCUGCGGCAGCGACGCUUAUGCGUUGUUGGGUAGGGGAGCGUUCUGUAAGCCUGCGAAGGUGUGCUGUGAGGCAUGCUGGAGGUAUCAGAAGUGCGAAUGCUGACAUAAGUAACGAUAAAGCGGGUGAAAAGCCCGCUCGCCGGAAGACCAAGGGUUCCUGUCCAACGUUAAUCGGGGCAGGGUGAGUCGACCCCUAAGGCGAGGCCGAAAGGCGUAGUCGAUGGGAAACAGGUUAAUAUUCCUGUACUUGGUGUUACUGCGAAGGGGGGACGGAGAAGGCUAUGUUGGCCGGGCGACGGUUGUCCCGGUUUAAGCGUGUAGGCUGGUUUUCCAGGCAAAUCCGGAAAAUCAAGGCUGAGGCGUGAUGACGAGGCACUACGGUGCUGAAGCAACAAAUGCCCUGCUUCCAGGAAAAGCCUCUAAGCAUCAGGUAACAUCAAAUCGUACCCCAAACCGACACAGGUGGUCAGGUAGAGAAUACCAAGGCGCUUGAGAGAACUCGGGUGAAGGAACUAGGCAAAAUGGUGCCGUAACUUCGGGAGAAGGCACGCUGAUAUGUAGGUGAAGCGACUUGCUCGUGGAGCUGAAAUCAGUCGAAGAUACCAGCUGGCUGCAACUGUUUAUUAAAAACACAGCACUGUGCAAACACGAAAGUGGACGUAUACGGUGUGACGCCUGCCCGGUGCCGGAAGGUUAAUUGAUGGGGUUAGCGGUAACGCGAAGCUCUUGAUCGAAGCCCGGUAAACGGCGGCCGUAACUAUAACGGUCCUAAGGUAGCGAAAUUCCUUGUCGGGUAAGUUCCGACCUGCACGAAUGGCGUAAUGAUGGCGGGCUGUCUCCACCCGAGACUCAGUGAAAUUGAACUCGCUGUGAAGAUGCAGUGUACCCGCGGCAAGACGGAAAGACCCCGUGAACCUUUACUAUAGCUUGACACUGAACAUUGAGCCUUGAUGUGUAGGAUAGGUGGGAGGCUUUGAAGUGUGGACGCCAGUCUGCAUGGAGCCGACCUUGAAAUACCACCCUUUAAUGUUUGAUGUUCUAACGUUGGCCCGUAAUCCGGGUUGCGGACAGUGUCUGGUGGGUAGUUUGACUGGGGCGGUCUCCUCCUAAAGAGUAACGGAGGAGCACGAAGGUUGGCUAAUCCUGGUCGGACAUCAGGAGGUUAGUGCAAUGGCAUAAGCCAGCUUGACUGCGAGCGUGACGGCGCGAGCAGGUGCGAAAGCAGGUCAUAGUGAUCCGGUGGUUCUGAAUGGAAGGGCCAUCGCUCAACGGAUAAAAGGUACUCCGGGGAUAACAGGCUGAUACCGCCAAGAGUUCAUAUCGACGGCGGUGUUUGGCACCUCGAUGUCGGCUCAUCACAUCCUGGGGCUGAAGUAGGUCCCAAGGGUAUGGCUGUUCGCCAUUUAAAGUGGUACGCGAGCUGGGUUUAGAACGUCGUGAGACAGUUCGGUCCCUAUCUGCCGUGGGCGCUGGAGAACUGAGGGGGGCUGCUCCUAGUACGAGAGGACCGGAGUGGACGCAUCACUGGUGUUCGGGUUGUCAUGCCAAUGGCACUGCCCGGUAGCUAAAUGCGGAAGAGAUAAGUGCUGAAAGCAUCUAAGCACGAAACUUGCCCCGAGAUGAGUUCUCCCUGAGACUUUAAGUCUCCUGAAGGAACGUUGAAGACGACGACGUUGAUAGGCCGGGUGUGUAAGCGCAGCGAUGCGUUGAGCUAACCGGUACUAAUGAACCGUGAGGCUUAACCU